GGUGGAAGGACGCCCCCUUACAUCUAUAUUCUACCUUUUGCAGCUGGACUCAACACGAAGUGCUGCGUCGUCUUCAAGGAUUCUUCACGAACAUUUAUUCAUCUUGGCUGUGCUGGCUGCGCUCGUGACGGUCAAGCUUACCCAGCUCACACGGGCGGUGACGGCGGUGGUGGAAGGACGCCCUCUUACAUCUAUAUUCUACCUUUUGCAGCUGGACUCAACACGAAGUGCCGCGCCGUCUUCAAGGAUUCUUGCCCGCACUGACGUGACGAACAUUUAUUCAUCUUGGCUGUGCUGGCUGCGCUCGUGACGGUCAAGCUCACCCAGCUCACACAGGCGGUGACGGCGGUGGUGGAAGGACGCCCCCUUACAUCUAUAUUCUACCUUCUGCAGGUUGGUAAACUGAGGUUCAUUCCUGACUAAAAGACUUGCCCUAUAUCUUUUGCCACCGCCACCCCUGUUACCACUGUGUUGAUACUUGUUUUGGUGUCAAGUGCUUUGGCGUUUUGGUACUCUUUGCACUGUGUGUACACUUAGUGGGCCAGUGAAGAUGCAAUGCCGCUCCUGCAGCGACUCCCUUCCUCCAGAUGGACGCUUCAUGAAAUGCUCCGAAUG